CCUACGGGUGGCUGCAGUGAGGAAUAUUGGUCAAUGGGAGGAAUCCUGAACCAGCCAUGCCGCGUGCAGGACGACGGCUCUACGAGUUGUAAACUGCUUUUGUACCGGGGUAAAAUGCUCUACGAGUAGGGUUUUGAAAGUACGGUACGAAUAAGGAUCGGCUAACUCCGUGCCAGCAGCCGCGGUAAUACGGAGGAUCCGAGCGUUAUCCGGAUUCAUUGGGUUUAAAGGGUGCGUAGGUUGUUUUAUAAGUUAGUGGUUAAACGUCGGGGCUUCACCUUGAUUUGCCAUUAAUACUGUAAGACUCGAGUUCAGACGAGGUAGGCGGAAUAAGUUAAGUAGCGGUGAAAUGCUUAGAUAUAACUUAGAACUCCGAUAGCGAAGGCAGCUUACCAGACUGCGACUGACGCUGAAGCACGAGAGCGUGGGUAGCGAACAGGAUUAGAUACCCUUGUAGUC
rnacentral:rRNA from 1 species